CUGUAACAUGAGGUCCGAUAGUGUUCUCAGGGCACGUCAGGAUACCUCCUGGCAAUAUGUUUAUAAAUAGUCUUCAGCUUCUCCUUUGUUUUUUUUGUUUUUUUUUUUUGAGAUGGAGUCUCGCUCUGUCACCAAGGCUGGAGUGCAGUGGUGCAAUCUUGGCUCACUGCAACCUCUGCUUCCCGGGUUCAACGAUUCUCCUGCCUCAGCUUCCUGAGUAGCUGGGAUUACAGGCAUCCACCACCAUGCCCAGCUGAUUUUUUUAUUUUUAGUAGAGAUGGAGUUUCACCAUGUUGGCCAGGCUGGUCUCGAACUCCUGACCUCAUGUGAUCCACCCACCUUGACCUCCCAAAUUGCUAGGAUUACAGGCAUGAGCCACGUCACCCAGCCUCAGCUUCUCCCUUUAAAAUCUUUUUUUGAUGUGUUUCUCUAAGAUGUUCCUGAUAUAUACAUGUUCCUUUGAAUUCACUGACUUUCCACAUUGCAUCUCUUCUAAUUCUGAAACUUUUUAUUCUUCCAUGCCAUGGAUUUCCCCUAAUUCUCCUGAUCAGUAUUGUCCAUUUAAUAUAAUCAAUGUGCUGACUGUCUGGGCCAUUUCUGUUCUGCUCUGUGAACAAAGGAAACAUUUUGUACCCCUGAGCCCUGUAGUGUCACAGAGAUCUCAAAGAGGAGACCAUCUGAGGACUGCCUACCUGCCCUGCACAGCCAUGUCUUCUGCUUGUACAUCGUGGGGAAGGAGAGAACCCUUGAGGU
rnacentral:lncRNA from 1 species